rnacentral:lncRNA from 1 species
AAGCACCAGUCAGGAGAAAAUUUUGUGUGUCCAACUGGCAGAAAAGAUAUUGAAAUGGACGCAUUGAGUCCUGUCAUGACUCUCCAUAAGAGUUGUCAGCAUUGAAAUGGAUACUGACUGAGUUGAGGCCAUGAUUCUUCAAAUAAAAAUGUACCAUGCUUAUGACAGGAUUUGCCCCCUUACCAGUGUCGAAUGAUUCAUCGAUCAAGAAAUUAACCUGCUGAGAGAUAGCUUCACAGCACACACCAAAUAUGCCACAUUUCCUGGGAGUAAGAAAAUAAAUUGGACCUGCUUGUAGUGGACUUGAAGGAUAGUGAACCUUUAAAAAAGUAUUCUUCCAGGAAGACUGAUUCCAUGGACUUCAGCAUAAUUUCUGAUGAAAGCAACAACCCGGAGAAUAUCAUCAUAAGUCAAAGCAUGGUUUGGUGUCUUUCCAGCAUUUCCGUGAACUCUAAUAAAGUUAAGUACAUAACAUUUAAUUUGUCAG